rnacentral:rRNA from 1 species
AAACGCCUGUGGGUUGUGAGGUUAAGCGACUAAGCGUACACGGUGGAUGCCCUGGCAGUCAGAGGCGAUGAAGGGCGUGCUAAUCUGCGAUAAGCGCCGGUAAGGUGAUAUGAACCGCUACAACCGGCGAUACCCGAAUGGGGAAACCCAGUGUGACUCGUCACACUAUCAUGCAGUGAAUACAUAGCUGUAUGAGGCGAACCGGGGGAACUGAAACAUCUAAGUACCCCGAGGAAAAGAAAUCAACCGAGAUUCCCCCAGUAGCGGCGAGCGAACGGGGAGGAGCCCAGAACCAUCAUCAGCUUGUGCAUCAGUGGAAGCGUCUGGAAAGUCGCAGGGUACAGGGUGAUACUCCCGUACACAAAGGUGCACAGGCUGUGAGUUCGAUGAGUAAGGCGGGACACGUGGUAUCCUGUCUGAAUAUGGGGGGACCAUCCUCCAAGGCUAAAUACUCCUGACUGACCGAUAGUGAACCAGUACCGUGAGGGAAAGGCGAAAAGAACCCCGGCGAGGGGAGUGAAACAGAACCUGAAACCGUGUACGUACAAGCAGUGGGAGCCUCUUUAUGGGGUGACUGCGUACCUUUUGUAUAAUGGGUCAGCGACUUAUAUUCUGUAGCAAGGUUAACCGCAUAGGGGAGCCGCAGGGAAACCGAGUCUUAACUGGGCGUUAAGUUGCAGGGUAUAGACCCGAAACCCGGUGAUCUAGCCAUGGGCAGGUUGAAGGUUGGGUAACACUAACUGGAGGACCGAACCGACUAAUGUUGAAAAAUUAGCGGAUGACCUGUGGCUGGGGGUGAAAGGCCAAUCAAACCGGGAGAUAGCUGGUUCUCCCCGAAAGCUAUUUAGGUAGCGCCUCGUGAACUCAUCUCCGGGGGUAGAGCACUGUUUCGGCUAGGGGGCCAUCCCGGCUUACCAACCCGAUGCAAACUGCGAAUACCGGAGAAUGUUAUCACGGGAGACACACGGCGGGUGCUAACGUCCGUCGUGAAGAGGGAAACAACCCAGACCGCCAGCUAAGGUCCCAAAGUCAUGGUUAAGUGGGAAACGAUGUGGGAAGGCCCAGACAGCCAGGAUGUUGGCUUAGAAGCAGCCAUCAUUUAAAGAAAGCGUAAUAGCUCACUGGUCGAGUCGGCCUGCGCGGAAGAUGUAACGGGGCUAAACCAUGCACCGAAGCUGCGGCAGCGACGCUUAUGCGUUGUUGGGUAGGGGAGCGUUCUGUAAGCCGUCGAAGGUGUGCUGUGAGGCAUGCUGGAGGUAUCAGAAGUGCGAAUGCUGACAUAAGUAACGAUAAACAAGGUGAAAAACCUUGUCGCCGGAAGACCAAGGGUUCCUGUUCAACGUUAAUCGGAGCAGGGUGAGUCGACCCCUAAGGCGAGGCCGAAAGGCGUAGUCGAUGGGAAACAGGUUAAUAUUCCUGUACUUGGUGUUACUGCGAAGGGGGGACGGAGAAGGCUAUAUCAGCCGGGCGACGGUUGUCCCGGUUUAAGCGUGUAGGUGUGUGUUCCAGGCAAAUCCGGUUCACUUUACACUGAGGCGUGACGACGAGGCACUACGGUGCUGAAGUGAUAAAUGCCCUGCUUCCAGGAAAAGCCUCUAAGCAUCAGGUAACACAAAAUCGUACCCCAAACCGACACAGGUGGUCAGGUAGAGAAUACCAAGGCGCUUGAGAGAACUCGGGUGAAGGAACUAGGCAAAAUGGUGCCGUAACUUCGGGAGAAGGCACGCUGGCGCGUAGGUGAAGGGACUUGCUCCCGGAGCUGAAGCCAGUCGAAGAUACCAGCUGGCUGCAACUGUUUAUUAAAAACACAGCACUGUGCAAACACGAAAGUGGACGUAUACGGUGUGACGCCUGCCCGGUGCCGGAAGGUUAAUUGAUGGGGUUAUCCGCAAGGAGAAGCUCUUGAUCGAAGCCCCGGUAAACGGCGGCCGUAACUAUAACGGUCCUAAGGUAGCGAAAUUCCUUGUCGGGUAAGUUCCGACCUGCACGAAUGGCGUAAUGAUGGCCAGGCUGUCUCCACCCGAGACUCAGUGAAAUUGAAAUCGCUGUGAAGAUGCAGUGUACCCGCGGCAAGACGGAAAGACCCCGUGAACCUUUACUACAGCUUGACACUGAACACUGAGCCUUGAUGUGUAGGAUAGGUGGGAGGCUUUGAAGCGUGGACGCCAGUCUGCGUGGAGCCG